ACAGGGAUUGCCUCAGUAACGGCGAGUGAAGCGGCAUCAGCUCAAAUUUGAAAUCUGGCUCUUUUAGAGUCCGAGUUGUAAUUUGCAGAGGGCGCUUUGGCAUAGGCAGCGAUUCAAGUUCCUUGGAACAGGACGUCACAGAGGGUGAGAAUCCCGUACGUGGUCGCUAGCUCUUGCCGUGUAAAGCCCCUUCGACGAGUCGAGUUGUUUGGGAAUGCAGCUCUAAAUGGGAGGUAAAUUUCUUCUAAAGCUAAAUAUUGGCCAGAGACCGAUAGCGCACAAGUAGAGUGAUCGAAAGAUGAAAAACACUUUGGAAAGAGAGUCAAACAGCACGUGAAAUUGUUGAAAGGGAAGCGCUUGCAGCCAGACUUGCCUGUAGUUGCUCAUCCGGGCUCUUGCCCGGUGCACUCUUCUGUAGGCAGGCCAGCAUCAGUUUGGGCGGUUGGAUAAAGGUCUCUGUCAUGUACCUCUCUUCGGGGAGGCCUUAUAGGGGAGGCGACAUACAACCAGCCUAGACUGAGGUCCGCGCAUUCGUGCUAGGAUGCUGGCGUAAUGGCUGUAAGCGGCCCGUCUUGAAACACGGACCAAGGAGUCUAACAUCUAUGCGAGUGUUUGGGUGUCAAGCCCGAGCGCGUAAUGAAAGUGAACGGAGGUGGGAACCCCUCGGGGUGCACCAUCGACCGAUCCUGAUGUCUUCGGAAGGAUUUGAGUAAGAGCAUGGCUGUUGGGACCCGAAAGAUGGUGAACUAUGCUUGAAUAGGGUGAAGCCAGAGGAAACUCUGGUGGAGGCUCGCAGCGGUUCUGACGUGCAAAUCGAUCGUCAAAUUUGGGCAUAGGGGCGAAAGACUAAUC
rnacentral:rRNA from 1 species